GGCUUUGAACGCGUCCUUCCUGAACGUGUCAAACUUGGGUGGAUUCAUCGAUACAUUGAGGGAAUAUAUCGACCGCCUGCUGCCCAAACGGGAAAAUAAAUAAAAUCAGAUCUCUUCACCGUUAAUAGGUUUAAGAAAUGCCUCCUAAAACAAUUAAGAUGGCUUUGGUGGACAUGAUGGAGGACCUGUCGAGUCAGAACUUCGAAAGGUUCUGCCACGAUCUUCUGGACCGCAGAGAAGAGCCGCAAGUCAGGCGCAACAGGGUGGAGGGUAGAACCCGCUUAGAAGUCGUGAGCGUCCUAGUUUCCACUUUUACCGAGCCCGUUGCUGUUCAAGUGUCCGUGGAAAUACUGAGACAGAUUAGCCUCAACGACGAGGCGGAGAGACUUGUCAGAAUGACAACUUGAGGACAUUAAACAUCCCGCUUUGACAAUGUAAGGCCCUCAUGAGCAGGAUUCAGCAUGGUGGGAGACGGGAAACACUCGAUGCAUCGACACACGUGUGCUCAUCCAGGACACGAACAUUGUCGCCCCAUAAAUGAUGAACUAUCCAGAGAGAAUAUUGUCAUAAGAGAGCCGUCUGCAGAAACCAACUUCAAAUCACUAAUCAACAUUUUGUACUUUGUCAUAAUAAAGUCUUUCUUGGGUCUUUUCCCUCUGUGGCUCACAUUAUUUCUUAAAAAUCAUAGGUAUUUAUCAACAUUGAUCCUAUUUCCACAAUAUAUUAGUUUGUAUAAAUUAACCUUUUAUUGUCUAAAAAACAACCAAAACAGCUUUAUGUAAACGAAGGCCUAUAUACGUUUUACUGUAUGUAAGCAGGCCAUUUUUACAUUACCUUUACCUAAAAAGAAGGAUUGCAUUACAGAAAAUGCUCUUUCAAUAAAUAACAAUGAGUGUUCAUACUGUUAAAAAAAAUAAGGCACCAUUUACAGCACAAGAGUUGUAAUAAAACAGCACAAGAGUUGUAAUAAAAGGGGUUUAUUAAUGUUAAUAAAUAAUGUUUUGGUCAAUUUUAUUCAUAGCCCAAUAUCACAAAUUUACCUGAAGGGGCUUUACAAUCUGUACAGCAUACGAGACCUUCUGUCAUUUAAAAAUAAUCUUUUGACUGGUGAAAACAACUUAUGACUCCUUUAUUAUUUUAGUCUGAAGAGGACGACAGGCCGCUGACUUCCAAAGAGAACGAGGGUCACUAACGGGGCGGCGGGGGGAAUGAUGUCCUCCUCCAGCUCCUUUUCGGCGUCCUCCGUAUAGACCUGGAGGGAAGGCAGAGGACAGUGGAGUGAGACGGGGCGAUGCAUUCAUCAUCAAAUUAUCUACAAGAGACACACUACCGAUUAUACACAUUAAGUUCAGUUUAAACGCCAUGAGCAGUAUCUUUAUAAAAACGUGGUACAACGUGUGGAGGAGCUUUCUGGUGUCUGAGAAAAUGACUCUGAUUACGUCAUCGGGGUUUCCUUGACACAUUUUUAAGGACAGGUUCACAUUUUUCAAUUCUUCCAAAGUUAUAGCUCUUUUAGUUGGAAUAAUCUCCUCUUUGUGAUUCCCUGGAAAAGGUUUCUCUACUGAGCUGAAGUGGAAGGAUUAUAACAUAAAGAGGGAAUUAUGUUUCUGUAACUGUGGAGGAUUCCCACUUGAUCUGCUGAAGCCUCGUAUUAACUUUAGAUUCGUUUUUUGUGCACAGAACAAGGGCAGUGGACUUUGUCCUCCCCCUCACUCACAUUAGACGCACAUUACAAAGGGAUCUAAGUAUUGUUUUAGAAAAAGACGAUCCUUUAGUGUAAAGCACGCUCUACAAAGUGAAGGUGUGGGGAAUAGUCCGGGCAAUACUGGACUUUUGAGACCAAUACUGUUAUUGAUAUUUGGGAAUUUAUAAAACCCUAUUAUGAUAUAUGGUUUUUGGGGGUUCAGAUUUGCUCCCAUUAAAUGGCAUCUAGCUAUGGAUAGAUAGGGAAUAGUUGUUUGCAUGACACAAUAGUGCGAUACAUCGUUUCUUCACUAAGUCGCUGCAGUUUCCUUUUAAAAGAAGAAAGAAGUGGAUAA